rnacentral:rRNA from 1 species
GAAUAUUGGACAAUGGGCGCAAGCCUGAUCCAGCCAUGCCGCGUGUGUGAAGAAGGCCCUCGGGUUGUAAAGCUCUUUUGUCCGGAAAGAAAAGCGCCGGGUUAAUACCCUGGUGUCCUGACGGUACCGGAAGAAUAAGCACCGGCUAACUUCGUGCCAGCAGCCGCGGUAAUACGAAGGGUGCAAGCGUUACUCGGAAUUACUGGGCGUAAAGCGUGCGUAGGUGGUUCGUUAAGUCUGAUGUGAAAGCCCUGGGCUCAACCUGGGAAUGGCACUGGAUACUGGCGGGCUAGAGUGCGGUAGAGGGCAGUGGAAUUCCCGGUGUAGCAGUGAAAUGCGUAGAGAUCGGGAGGAACAUCUGUGGCGAAGGCGACUGCCUGGACCAGCACUGACACUGAGGCACGAAAGCGUGGGGAGCAAACAG